rnacentral:misc_RNA from 1 species
AAGUUCCUUAGUAGUAAUGCAGCCUGCAAUAAAAUCAAAAACCGUUGCAAUAGACACACAGCCAGCAAUACAAGUAACCAAGCAUAUCUAGUGAAACUAUUGGAAAAGUCCUGCCAACAUUCCAUGGACUAAGAAAUAUCACCAGUAACUUUGUGUUUAUAAUAAAACCUCCACAAUAACUAGUUUGUAAUGCUCCAAUAUUCAAUGAGAUGGCAAUAAGGUGAAUAUUUGAACUUAGAAACUGGGAACAUGACCAUGGAUAUCAGUGUCAAAACUUUAAACUCAAAAAAGAAGAAGUUGUGAGUUGAACAGGAAACAAAAACAUUUAACAGCAACAAAGCCAAGAAAACAAGUAUAUACGCACAACACAAUCAUUUAUUAUUACAAAAUCACCAUUAAAAUGCAAUAAUUCAAUGGAACCAAUGAAAACAUUCAUUCUAUAUAAGCUGUCAAGAAAACUUAAGUACAGCAAAGAUAUGACUAUAUGCUAUACAAUUGCAUAUAUAAUUUAACUAAAAUGAAAAAUAAACAUUUACACUUGUAUGAAAGUGACUCCUAUUAUUCCCUCAAAAUUAUCCACGGAAUGCCAUCAAUCUCUUAAAACACAGAGAGCUAGUUGAAUAGGCAUCUAUUUCCAAAUCCAUCAUUUUUCCACAUAACAUAAAUAAAAUGAUCUAGUCCAGACAAAUCUAUCAAUAAAUGAAAUCAACACAAUCAGAAUACACAAAAGGGGUGGGAGAUUAUAGGAUAACAAUGAAUCCUCAUGGAAAUCCACACAAAUGGCAUCAUAAACCUCAUACCAUAAUCAAGAAAUCACAUAUUGAACACAAACCAAAAUGAUGGCAUAGCUCAAUUAGGGCUAUAAAUUUUUAGGAACUCAGGCUCCAAUAAGAUUUUCAUUGUGCUCAAGCUCAGGUUCAGCUCAUUUUAAAUUUUAUUAGACUCAAGCUCUCACAAGUAGCUCAUCUAUCAAACCUGCAAGAUCAGUUCACAUUUUGCUCAUUUAUCAAACCUGCAAGCUCGACUCAUAUUUAGCUUAUUUAUCAAGCCCGAGCUUGACUCAUUAUUAAGUUUAAUGAUCCAAAUUCCUUAAAGAAACUUAUACUUAAUUUUAUUAAUUAUUAUCUUAAUUUAGCAUUACUUUUGUUAAAUUUUACCUAAAAUUCGAAGCAAUGAUAGGCCAAAUAAAAAAAUAAAAAAAAAACUAAAUUGAUAAUUAUAAUAACCUUUAAUUAAAUUAUAUUGCCAUAAAUAAAUCAUUAAUAAAUACGAAAUUAUAUAAACAAGGUUUUUCACAGGCCUCUAAAUGAGCUAUUAUAUGAUCCAGAUAUCAAGCUUAAAAAUGAACUAUUAGUGAGCCGAUUUACGAGUACACCAAAGACCCAGAUCGCAAUUAUACUCAAAUCGAAUAUUAACGAGUUUAAAAUCGACUAAUUUAUUAAAAGAGUUUCAAAAUCAUGCUCAAAGUCAGCUUUUUUUUUAAAUUAAUAAGUGUGCAGAAACAAGCUUUUAUCGAGCUCAUUGUCCUAAACCAAAUCAAAGUAGCACGGCAUAGACCAAAAAAUCAAAUCUAAGAAAACAGAUCACAAAGCAAGAACAGAUGUGAUAAAAUAAAGAGAGAUUUGAGGAAAAAUACCAUCGCCAUCUUUAUCAAAGAGGAUGAAGGCUUCCUUGAACUCAGAG